UACGUAGGGUGCGAGCGUUGUCCGGAAUUAUUGGGCGUAAAGGGCUCGUAGGCGGUCUGUCGCGUCGAAAGUGAAAACCCAGGGCUUAACCCUGGGCCUGCUUCCGAUACGGGCAGACUAGAGGUAUGCAGGGGAGAACGGAAUUCCUGGUGUAGCGGUGAAAUGCGCAGAUAUCAGGAGGAACACCGGUGGCGAAGGCGGGUCUCUGGGCAGUAACUGACGCUGAGGAGCGAAAGCGUGGGGAGCGAACAGG
rnacentral:rRNA from 1 species